rnacentral:rRNA from 1 species
UACCAGCACCCCGAGCGGUCGGGACGUUUAUUGGGCCUAAAGCAUCCGUAGCCGGUUCUGCAAGUCUUCCGUUAAAUCCACCUGCUUAACAGAUGGGCCGCGGAAGAUACUAUAGAGCUAGGAGGCGGGAGAGGCAAGCGGUACUCGAUGGGUAGGGGUAAAAUCCGUUGAUCCAUUGAAGACCACCAGUGGCGAAGGCGGCUUGCCAGAACGCGCUCGACGGUGAGGGAUGAAAGCUGGGGGAGCAAACCGG